rnacentral:rRNA from 1 species
CACGUAGGGGACGAGCGUUGUCCGGAUUCAUUGGGCGUAAAGCGCGCGUAGGCGGCUCGGAAAGUCGGUCGUGAAAUGCCGGGGCUCACCGGCCGGACUGCGUCCGAUACUUCCGGGCUGGAGGUAGGUAGGGGAGAUCGGAAUUCCUGGUGUAGCGGUGAAAUGCGCAGAUAUCAGGAGGAACACCGGUGGCGAAGGCGGAUCUCUGGGCCUUACCUGACGCUGAGGCGCGAAAGCUAGGGGAGCGAACAGG